CUUAAUCCUAUCUAGUCUGGUGUGCCCGCACAUCCACCUAAGCAUUCUCAUCUCCGCAACCUUCAUUCUUUGAACAUGGGAGUUUUUCACGGGCUAGCACUCCGUCCCAUACAACAUAGCAGGUCUAAUCACGGCUCUAUAGAAUUUCCCCUUGAGUUUGUGUGGAACUUUCUUGUCACACAGGACCCCUGAGGCGAGCCUCCAU
rnacentral:lncRNA from 1 species